UCCCGUUCAUCACCGACGACCUGGAGAUCGAGUGCGAGGGGAAGGAGAAGUUCAAGUGCGGAUCCAACGUCUUCUGGAAAUGGUGAAGCUGGUCGAUCUGCCAGGCAAUAUGGCGAGUGCUGAUGUAUGUCAGCGCACCGCGUGUACCUAGAUGUCCAAACUGCGCAAGUGUUUCAACUGUGAAGUUAUCGUCGCUGUAAUUUUAUCAUCAUCAAGUGGAAUUCUGUUUUCACCUGGAUAUGGAUAUAUGCAUGUUAGCAUGUAUCUUGUCACAUCCAGAACGCGAACAUUCAUCAGUUAGAAUCUUUCAAGCGAACUGCUUAGGCAAUUUCGAGAUCAGUUGGGAAAACACACGCAAAAAAAAGUAAAUGAUACCAAGCUGAUUCUAACUCUAAGCAAAGAUGCAAACCAA
rnacentral:lncRNA from 1 species